AACGAACGCUGGCGGCAGGCUUAACACAUGCAAGUCGAACGCCCCGCAAGGGGAGUGGCAGACGGGUGAGUAACGCGUGGGAAUCUACCCAGAUCUUCGGAACAACUGAGGGAAACUUCAGCUAAUACCGGAUACGCCCUACGGGGGAAAGAUUUAUCGGUUCUGGAUGAGCCCGCGUUGGAUUAGCUAGUUGGUGGGGUAAUGGCCUACCAAGGCGACGAUCCAUAGCUGGUCUGAGAGGAUGAUCAGCCACACUGGGACUGAGACACGGCCCAGACUCCUACGGGAGGCAGCAGUGGGGAAUAUUGGACAAUGGGCGAAAGCCUGAUCCAGCCAUGCCGCGUGAGUGAUGAAGGCCUUAGGGUUGUAAAGCUCUUUCAGUGGGGAAGAUAAUGACGGUACCCACAGAAGAAGCCCCGGCUAACUUCGUG
rnacentral:rRNA from 2 species